CUGCUAGCUUCAGCAGCACAUACACUAAAAUUGGAAUGACACAGAGAUUAGCAUGGCCCCUUCAGAAGGAUAACAUGCAAAUUCAUGAAGCACUCACAACCACA
ensembl:snRNA U6 U6 spliceosomal RNA